UUGUUCCUUCAUCCAGUCAACAUUUACACAGGUCUAAGCAGUCAUGACUAUGGGGAGUUCAAGGAAAAAUGAGGUCUCUGUCCUCAGGAAGUUUUGCUCAGAAUAGGCAGUAGCCUCAUAAACAGGAGGACCUACAUGUCAUGGCUGGAUUCCAGUAGUGAUGUGAGCCCAUCACAGAGAAGGGGCCCCUGCUGCCUCCCUCAAGGGGUGACCUUCACACUUAGCCCCACCCCCAGGCUGUGGACCCCUUGACAUGCAGUGAAAGAGCACCCAGCAUUCUGGGUGGGGCGUGAUGGAUGUCGAUGUGGAGUGACAGCUAUUCCAGUCCCGUGGACUGGCAACCCAGGCCAUGCUGGAUAUCCUGAGACCCCCCACAGUGGGAGCAACCACCCUGUGCUGUGCCCAAGUGGGUGUGGACGAUGAGGAACAUGGACACGGGUAAGAAGCCCCUGCUGCCACACCCUUCUCAGUCCAGGGAAAGGGGCAGGCAGAGGAGAAAACUCUUCUGGUCCUUGUAUUCCCUUCUUGUUGGGGUGAGGGGUGCCUCAAAGCCAGGGCUUAUCGGUAACAAUGGGACUCCCUGGCUCUGGGUCUAAGUGGGAAUCAGGUCCCCAGUUCAUCCCCACUCUACCUACAUGGGCCUGUCCCCAGCUGGCUUCCUUUGACUUUAUGUCCAUGUAACGUUCCCCAUCUCUGCCACUCUCUCUGGGACCGUUAAGGUGAUCUUAGUACCUGUAUCUCUGCUCCCACAAGGCCUGGAUGGUACCUUCAGGCCUGACCUCCUGUUGGCCUUGAUCAAAACUACAAGCCCGGCCCGCCCAGCCCUAGAAUGGUCAUCUGUCUGUGCUCAUGAGUGCUGCUCCACUGACACCAGCUGCCCUUCCCGGCCUUGGCUGAACUCCAUCUAGGCCUGCUUGGCCUGUUUAUCAUCUAGGACUCUCUGCUCAGCUUAUGCCUGGCCUUGGUUCCUUCUAGACUACAAUGGCCCCACCUGGGACUCCACCCAGGAAACUUUUUUAUGGUGGAAAGCAUGCACCAAGGAGUGAGGCAGGUCUGGGUUCAAAUCCAAGUGAAUUACCAGCUGUGCAACCUUAGCAUCCCAGAGCCAUCUGCUGUUCACACUCCAUCUGAAGGAUCUCCUGUAAGUGCCUGGAAGAACUGCCAUAUGUUCCUGGACAGGGACCUUAACCUCUCUGAACACAAGGUCUCACUGUUGCUGAGGCUGGAGUACAAUGGCGCCAUUCCAGCUCACUGCAGCCUCGACCUCGUGGGCUCAAGCAAUCCUCCCACCUCAGACUCCCGAAGUGCUGGGACUAUAAGCACGCACCACCAUGUCCAGGUAAUUUUUUUUAUUUUUAGUAGAGAUGAGGUCUCACUAUGUUGCCCAAGCUGGUCUUGAACUCCUGAACUCAAGAGAUACUCCUGCCUCUACUUCCCAAAGUGCUAGGAUUACAGGCAUGAGACACCGUGCCCAGCCAACUUCAACUUUUUGAGUACUUCUACAUCACAUCCUAUGCUGAGCACUUUUCACAAGAGUCUCAUUUAAUUCCCAAGACAAGUCUAUGGGGAAAUUACUAUCUUCAUCUUACAGAUGGGAAGCUGGGGCAUACAGGGGUCAAGGGAAUGGCUCAGGGUCAUGAUCUGAGCCCAGGUCUCUCAGACUCUAAAGCCCAUGCUCUUUGACCUCAAAGCAUUUUAAAAAGUACUUAAACCUGAAAGCACUUGGCCUGAGUGCUUUUCAGGCUCUCAGUGGCAGUGCUGGCACACAGAAAGGACAGAAGCCCCUCAUGCCUGCUGUUUGUGUCCAAGAAUCUGGAGCACUGAUUAGUGAUGACUAACACUCUGGAUUCCCUCAGCUCUCUAACCACAAGUCCAAGCAUCACAGGGACCUGGCCAGAUUCCUCGCCCUGCCCCAUCCCUUCCAGUGAACCAGCCCUGGCACCAGAGCAAGGCUGGAAAAGUGGGCCUGAGUAAGCCACUUGCCUCAGACACCAGAAGACCUAGAGGGAUGAGCACCUUGUCCCUUUCAGAGGCAGAACAUCGUUCCCCUCUGGUCUCUGAGACAAAUGCCUGGCUACUCUCCAAAUCCUCCCAGUGGACAAGCAGGACUAAGUGGGAGAAACUGAGGCCAGGAUCUCUCCCGCCCACUCACCUCUUGCCAGAGGCCUCCCCGAACAUAGGGGCAACUUUGCACCAGUUCCAUGAGCUGGUGUUUCUCAAAACACCAUGGCUGAGGGUCCCAUUCACACCUCCUGAAUCAAAGAGUCUCAGAGUCUGCGCUUUAAAUAAGCACCUCAUAUCUGACCAAUGUCCUAACAAAGUAGCUCAGACCAUAUAGGUUCAACUGUGUCCCCUCUAAUUCAUAUGUUGAAGUCCUAACCCACAUUAUCUCCGAAUGUGACUAUAUCUAGAGAUAAAUUAUCCCUUUAAAGGGAUAAUUCAGCUAAGAUGAGGUCAUUAGGGCGGGCUCUCAUCCAACAUGACUGGUGUCCUUAUAAAAAGAGCAGACACAUAUAGAGGGGUAGUCAUGGGAAGUCACAGACAGAAGGUGGCUAGGGAGAGGGGGCUCAGAAGAAAUCAGCCCUACCAACAUCUUGAUCUCGGAUUUCUAGCCUCCAAAAUUGUAAGAAAAUAGGCUGCACACAGUGGCUCAUGCCUGUAAUCCUAGCACUUGGGGAGGCCAAGACAGGUGGAUCAAGACACUUGAGCUCAGGAGUUCAAGACCAGCCUGGCCAACAUGGUGAAACCCUGUCUCUACUAAAAAUACAAAAACUUAGCCAGGCAUGGUGGCUGGCACCUGGCAAUCUCAGCUACCUGGGAGGCUGAGGCAGGAGAAUCGCUUGAACCCGGGAGGCAGAGGUUGCAGUGGGUCCAGAUCACACCACUGCACUCUAGCCUGGGCAACAGAGUGAGACUGUCUCAAAACAAAACAAAACUAUAAGAAAAUAAACUUUUGUUGUUAAGCCACCUGGUCUGUUACUUUGUUAUGGCAACAUUAGCAAACUAACACACAGGCUGAGGGGGCUCUUCAAAAUCUUUAUCCUCAGCAGCACACUACCAGAGGCCCAGGCAACCACUAGCAAACCUGGAUGAAAUGGGUCCAGCUCUGGCUAUGAAGAGCUGUGUCUCCUUCAUGUGUUCCAAGGGGAUGGAAUAAAAUGCAGACAAUGAGACCCGGGGCUAAGGAGACUGAGACAGAGUAAAGGCAACACACGGUUUAGUACACCGAUGAAGUGGCGUCCAGGACUACCAGUGACCCACUGAUCCGAACACAUGAUCAGCACAUGAGGGGUGGCUUUAGGGUUGAGGAAGUCGGAUCUGUCUUGGCGCCUGUGGGCCUGAGCCCAGGACACUGGGCCAUAACGUCUACCUCACCUCCUCAAGGUGGUUUCCAGGGGCCGUCAGCCAGCAGUUAGAAUAUGCUAUUGAGAUUGCAACACGUACUUUUGCAUCCACUCCAGAA